GGGGACGACUGGUUUUGACAGCAAGGUCAGUGAUAAUGUAAGCAUACCGAGGAGUGAAAUGAUAACUCGUAAAACUUAUUUCAACUUUUUAAACGGCGAAGAUAACUACGCUUUAGCUGCAUAAUCUGAAUUAAUAGUAAGAUUAGCCUCGGCGCACAAGGUGCGCAAGCUUUAUGUCCACGGAAAGCCUUGGUUUAUGGCGUUCCACUUUUGGGCAUCGUAAAAAUAAACAUAGAAAACUUAGCACUUCGAUAGGUUUUUGAAACUAAAGAAGAUAGGCUUAAAGUAGGCAGUUUUUGGUCAGCUUUAGGAUGAAAACUAAACAAAAACUAAGUAUGUAGAAAGCCUUUGAGCUGCUUGUUUGGACCCGAGUUCGAUUCUCGGCGUCUCCACAA
rnacentral:tmRNA from 1 species